UCCGUAGGUGAACCUGCGGAAGGAUCAUUACCGAGUGCGGGUCCUUUGGGCCCAACCUCCCAUCCGUGUCUAUUGUACCCUGUUGCUUCGGCGGGCCCGCCGCUUGUCGGCCGCCGGGGGGGCGCCUCUGCCCCCCGGGCCCGUGCCCGCCGGAGACCCCAACACGAACACUGUCUGAAAGCGUGCAGUCUGAGUUGAUUGAAUGCAAUCAGUUAAAACUUUCAACAAUGGAUCUCUUGGUUCCGGCAUCGAUGAAGAACGCAGCGAAAUGCGAUAACUAAUGUGAAUUGCAGAAUUCAGUGAAUCAUCGAGUCUUUGAACGCACAUUGCGCCCCCUGGUAUUCCGGGGGGCAUGCCUGUCCGAGCGUCAUUGCUGCCCUCAAGCCCGGCUUGUGUGUUGGGUCGCCGUCCCCCUCUCCGGGGGGACGGGCCCGAAAGGCAGCGGCGGCACCGCGUCCGAUCCUCGAGCGUAUGGGGCUUUGUCACAUGCUCUGUAGGAUUGGCCGGCGCCUGCCGACGUUUUCCAACCAUUCUUUCCAGGUGACCUCGAUCAGUAGGGCAUACCCGCUGAACUUAAGCAUAUCAA
rnacentral:rRNA from 1 species